GCGGAACAGGAAAGUGGGGCUGUUCCCCUCGGAGCAGCCCCUCUCGCUUCCAACGGCAUGGCUCAGGUCUGCCUCGUGCAGAGGGCUUCGUCUGCAAGAGGAGGCUCAACUCCUGCGCAGCUCCGGCCCUGCCCGCAGGAAGAAGUGCAGGUGGUGGUGGUGCUGGGCUUGCUUCUGGGCCCGGUGCUGCCCUGCUUCCCCAUCCCCUGAACCCAGGUACUAGCAAGGACAAAGAUGAGCAUGACCCAGCAACAAUCACCAGUUCCUUUAGCUGCAUGGACACUCUGCACAUGCAGAGAACGUUUCAGGAGCAGCUCUGCUGGAAAUGCUGCCCUAAGUUUGAAUUUUGCUGCAGUCAGCUCCAGCCUGCAGGAGACUUUGAUCUUUCAGAGCAGAGAUGGCUGGACCCACCUCAUAUGAGCGAAUUGUCCUACCUGACCCUACAGGAAGAACAUCAAGAUCUUGGAAGUGUGGUACCCAAUGAAUCCAUCUCCCUCGUACUGCACAAGGAGAUGGAGCCCAUGGGAAGAGCAGAACAUGCUGCCUUGCUGAAGGGCUUCACCUAGAGUAGACAGAUCCUCUGCUGCAUGGAAAGGAUGUUUUCCUGCUUGCUGAUUGCUGCAGCAUCACCAUGGGCAGAAUUCACCUUUCAUCCAGAUAAAUCAUCACCUGGGCUUGCCUGCUUCAUGGUCUGUAAAUGUGUCCUGUGGUCCUGGUCUCUGCACUUCCUGUCUGCAACUUUGGAGCGGAGUGUGUCUUUCCAGAGCCUGAAAGCUAAACUGUAUUGCUGAGUAACAAGCAGACAGGUGAGAGGAUGGAUAAGGACAGGAGAGCUUGUACUGAGCUUAGAGGAGCCCCUGGCACCAACCAGGAUUGCCAUGGGGCAUUCAGACAUAGAGAUGCAGACAUACAGGACUCCAGCAACGUAUCAACAAAGCAGAGGUCAACUUAUGGUCCUCCAGAGAGACUGUAGGGACCUUGGCAUUGUGUAAACAAACUUCUGGGAUCAGCUUUAAGGUGAGGAUCACUUGGCAUCUCUCCUGACCCCACCAAGGCAUGGGAAAUGUUGGCUGCAUCCUGCUGGCCAUGCAGCUGUGCCUGAUCCAAGCACUUACUGCCACCCAGUAAUGAAAGCAUUUCCUUCAGGUGACAGAUGAGGUCUGGCCCCUUCCUGGCAUACCCUAAGCCAGACUUCAGCAUCUCUCCUGGCCCAGAGAGGCUUACCAGUAUCCUUCUGGUGACUACAGAUGCAACCCUCUGCUAGGAGAAGGGUUCCACCUGCUGCUGCCCCUUGCCUGCUCUCUCCUCCAUCCAUCACCAUCUCCACCUCCUUUGGUUUCCUUCAUGUUUCUGUAUUUUUGGUUAUGUGCAAAUGGACUCAGGGGAGGGUCCAAGCAACAGCUGCCUUUGAUCAGUGCAAAAUGUGGGAGAUGGAGCACUUCAGGAAUGCCGACUCCUGAUCAAAGGUGGGAACUCAGUGACAGCCGGGACUCGGCAAGAGCCCAUCCCUGCUAAUCCCCAGCAGGGAGCCGGAGGUAGGACCAGCAACCCACAAGUCCAUCUGCCUGCCCAUCAGAAUGGACAAGCCAAUGUGUUGAAAGUGAUGGGAGGCCAAGCUGGAGGGUGGCCUCCAAAAUUCAUUGCUGGCACCUGAACCCAACCAUGCCUGUUGGCAGCAGAAAUACUAUACACAGCUGGUUGCUCUGAUGGAGAGGUGACACGGGGAAAAUGGGACAGAAAUGCCCUAACAUGUCACCUAUAUAAAGAUGAGGCUGGGUUGAGAGGUGGCUUGCCAUAAGAGCAUCUAGAGGAAGAGAAGAAUGGAUCAUCCUUCCUGAGGGGUAAACUGAGGUCACUGGUGGAGAAGUUAGAGCCCAGCCUCCCUUUCAGAGGGGAAACCCCACAGUUGAGUGAGUCUGCAUGCAGCCCCCCAAGCCAUUCCCAGAGCUCCUUCCAUCCCAGACAUUCUUAUCUGCUGUCCAUUUCCCUGAUAACCUUGGGCAUGAAGCUGGGAAACCCAUCUGCACAGAACAGGUUUGCCCAGGAAGGCAGAGGGUGAAAACCCACUUCCCACAGUGUUUGGCCCCUCCAAUGGGAAGGAUGCUCCUCCCAACCCCAGCCCCACUCAGCAAACAGCAAAAGAAUUCCUUGUUGCCCACAACCCUGUGCCUUUCCCUGCCCCAUCUCUAUCUGGACAUUUCUUGGACAAGGCUGCUCUGUCAUGUUGAAAAGGGAAGCUUUUAGAAAGAGCCAAUAAGGGCAGUUCCCUUGGGACCUCCAUGGGAAGGGUCACGGGUCGCUUCCUAGCAGUGCUUGUCCUGAUAAUGAGUCGAUCAAGGCUGGGGUUGUGGAGACAGCAUUUAUCAGCAAACCCUGGGAACACUGAGACGUAAAAAUGUCUUCUCAUUUGCCAGACUGGGGAGAUGGAGCAGGGACAAGCCCUGGUGCAAGGAUGGAGGUCUCAGGGUGUGGGAGCCAAUCGGCCAGAACAGAGAAAGGCUAUGGGAGGGAACGUGAGAGAGGAAGAACAGUGUGAAUGGAUGGGCAGUGCAAGGGAUGCAUUCCCUGAUUGUUUCCAGAGCAGUGAUGUUUUGCACCAUGAUGGGGUUGCCAUGGCAAGCAGGGAAAUGAGAUGUGCCCAGAUCAGGAUAGGCGGCCACCAGGGAGAGGUUGUACAUGGGAGCCAAGUCCCGUACAAGUCCCAUCUCCCAAAAACUACCUACCAAACACCUUUUUUUGCCUACCUUUGCCACCCUACUCCCUCAUCCCAUCCAGGCAAAUCAUAGCCAGACUCUUGGCACAGAGGGAUGAAUGAUUCG
rnacentral:lncRNA from 1 species